rnacentral:lncRNA from 1 species
ACAUGUUAUAAUUUUUUUAGCAUUUGAACAGGGGUUUAACAUGCCAUUUUUUACCACCACCUCCAACCACAUCAUUUAUAAUUUACCAUUUUAUUAUAUUGUUAUUUGAAUAUAAUAUAUAUAUUUAUACAUGGCUUUUAUUCUCACAACUUUAUGGGAAGUUGUGGCAUGUUUAGUAUUAUUAUAAUAUAUUUUCAAAUACCUUUUGGUGAACAGAGAAUGGUAUAUAUACCAGUUGAACCUUCAAUUUUUGCAGGCCAUGUAAAUUAUACCACUCCCGUUGGAGCAAGUUUUUUUGUUCAAAAAUGGUAAAAAUGUUAAAAUAUA